rnacentral:lncRNA from 1 species
GCUCCCUGAUGGGAGUAUUCAUGGUUAGAGUCUCAGUCUCUAUUACGGGCCCUAGUACACUUCAGGAACUCAAAAGCUUUGCUGAUAUAAUGCAAGGUGAUAAAAAAGUAGAAAGACUUGGGAUAAUCUUGAUUUCUGAAGGCAUCAAACGGGAAUUAGAGAAAGCAGCAGGAAAAACGAAGGCCUUUUUAAGUUCCAUGAGAACUACGGUUUGCAAGACUGGUCAAAACAGUACAAUGCAAGCGGCAAGAAUCAGGAAGUGCACAGAAACAAGAAGCUCGGUGCACACUGGGAUCAGGCAAGCAUCUGGGAGAAGACUGUAGCAAGACUGGAUCCUGAGAAAUAUACAGAGUUCAGAGGCUCCAUGGCUACACUUUGGGCAUGUAUGUCAUUACAGGAAUGAAAAAAAGAUGAUGGCCAAAUGCUGUAUUAAAAUCCCAUUAGAAAUGCCGGGAGAAAUUUAUGGCCCCAAUCUCUUUUAUCUGACAGCAGUUCCCAUGUGAUCCAUCAGGCUCUGAACAUGAAUUUUAAUGGGCUCAGAACCACUUCUCUACCCUGAGGUCACAGGCUGUCAGAGUGAAUCUUCCACAAACUGAUUGGAACCUGAAGAAUUUGCUCUGUCAAGAGAGGAGGAAACACAGAUAAAUUAAAUACUGGUUAGCAAUCUUUAAUAACCAGGAGAUGCUUAACAUUUAUUUAGAAAUCUGCAACAUUUUAUAAAUCAUUGUUUUGGCUUCUGGGACAAACUCAGAAUCUGGAACCCACGGAAACCCUUCAGUUACACAAAGGCUUUCCAGUUCAUUGCUACUGCACUGAAGAACAGUCUUCACAACUAUACCUGGAACUUACUAGGCCAAGAAGGCAAGGCGUUGAGUGUUUCAAUUGAAUAUUGCAACUGAAGACAUUCACUCUGCGUUGAUCACCUAUGGAGUGAUCAAAUUUCAACCCUUUGAAGUUUCCUAAAUGAAAGAGGCACUCUGAAUUCAAAGGCUGUUUGAAUGAACUGACUGCUUCAGCACUGUCUUGUAGAUAUAGUCCAUUCAAAUAAAAGACAAAUAUCUGACUGAAUUUUGUUAGCACGUUAAGACAUGUAUUAUAAAAAGGUUUAAGAAGAAAAUAAUGGCCACAAUUCUUCAGAAAACAUGUGAACUAAUGUGACAAAACACUGUGGUGUUGCAAACUCAAGUGCUGCUCUGGCCAAGUCACCUCGCUGAAAUCUCCACUUCCACUUGUGCAACCUACCAAGCCACUCUCUACACAGCUGCCAGAGUGAUUACAAAAACAACGCGGGAUUAUGCUACCCCUGCUUAUCUAAAAUUUGUCAAAAUGCCCGUUACACUUUGAAUAAAAUACAGAUUCCUCU